rnacentral:tRNA from 1 species
UCCCUGAUAGCUCAGUUGGUAGAGCAAUCGACUGUUAAUCGAUGUGUCGUAAGUUCGAGUCUUACUCGGGGAGCCA